rnacentral:rRNA from 1 species
AUGGGUAGGAAACGCAAAAUACCAAAAAAAAUAGUUGUACCUACUGCACCAAUGGUUGAAGAACCACUCAAAAUCUAUCACACUAUUGAAGCUUUUUACUUGGAUCAUCUUCGAUCCCUUUGUGCUCGUGCUGAAACCCCAACUAGCUUAGUUGAGGGAAAAUCUUUAGAUGAGCAUGCUUGUUAUGUGCGACACCGUAUAUCUGAAAAAGGGAAACUAUUAUGGGAUCAAAUUCAACGUUUGCAAUGCUAUGCUUGGACUUUAUGUGAAUUAUAUGAUGUUACUUGUUGUUCUGAAAACCCUAAGAAACACCUUCCCUACCAAUGCUUGUUUAGCGAUAAUGGAAUCGUAUCUUCAUAUGCUAAGGGUGUUUAUAAUUACUAUGAUGUUCAACAAAUUGAAGAAUUUGUUGCUUUUAAGGGUGCUUUUGAAAUUGCUUCUUUGAUUGAAAAGUAUGAUGCUACUCUCUACAAAUCUAAAUUUUUUGCCAUACUUGAAUAUUGCUAUGAUAAUUAUGCUUCUAAUGCCCAUGUUAAACUAUAUAUUGAGGCCUACCCCGCUGUCCAAGAAGAGACUAAUAUUUUGCAGGAAGCUAUGGAAGAAGAAAUUGAUGAAACUGUGAGCUCAUUGGAUGAAAAAGAUGAUGAGGAGAGUGAAGAACAAAAGGAGGAAGAGCAGAUUAGCUACCCGUGCCCACCUUCUAAUGAGAGUAACCCUCCAACUCAUACAUUAUUUAAUUCCCCUUCGUGCUUACUGAAGGAUGAUUGCUAUGAUGAUUGCUAUGAUCCCUUGAAUUUGUUUGAAAUAUCCCUUUUUGAUGAUGCUUGCUAUGCUUGUGGCCAAGAUGCCAAUAUGAAUUAUGCUUAUGGAGAUGAACUAGCUAUAGUUCCUUAUGUUAAACAUGAAAUUGUUGCUAUUGCACCCACGCAUGAUAGUCCUAUUAUCUUUUUGAAUUCUCCCUGCUACACUAUAUCGGAGAAGUUUGUGCUUAUUAAGGAUUAUAUUGAUGGGUUGCCUUUUACCGUUGCACAUGAUGAUAUUGAUAGAUAUAAUAUGCAUGUGCUUGCUGCUCCUACUUGCAAUUAUUAUGAUAGAGGAACUACAUCUCCGCCUCUUUAUGUUUCCAACACGAUAGAAUUGCAAGAAACUGCUUAUACUAUGCAUUGGCCUUUACUUUGUGUGCAUGAAUUGUUCUUUUAUGACAUGCCGAUGCAUAGGAAGAGAGUUAGACUUCAUUGUUGCAUGAUAUAUGUUACUUUGUGCUCACUACUAAAUUACAAAUCAUUGUUAAUUAAAAUUGGCUUUGAUAUACCUUGGGAUCCGGGUGGAUUUAUUACUUGA